UUUAUUAUUAUUAUAUUUAUUUAAUUUUUUUCUGUUUAUUUAUUUCCCCCCUCCCUGGUUAUUACCUCUGGCCAGGGAGGGGGGUCAAUAUAUUUCUUGGUGGUACUUUAGAGGCUCCUGCUUACACCUCCGACAGGUGGAGGCUCUUUCACGAGUCCUGGCAUUGUGAAGUAUCUGAGCGCUGUUGGGGUUAAAAUCUUUCUAAAAGUGCCACAAAUCACAUGGUUUACAUUGAUAGACUUGGGCAAACUACACUAAAAUAUGGGAUUUUGUGUCUGUCUCAGUAUUGAUUUGUGCCACUAAUGCUAAGCCGAGUUGGUUAGAAUAACAGGUUUAUUUGUUGGGAGAAGUUUUAGGAAUUCAAAGUUAAGUUCAAAUUAAAGACCAAAGUAGCUGAAUUGAUAGCAAAGCUGACGGAGAACUGUUUUAGCCUUAAAUUUGAAAUCCGCUUUGAAAUUACUAUUAUUAUUAUUUUAUUAUUUAUAUAGCACCAGAAAAUUCCAUAGCGCUGUACAAUGAGUGGGUUCCUGACAAUUCUCUAGUCAGUGAUUAACUCUGUGUUUGUAUCUUAGAAAAACUUGCCAUCAGAAAAACGUUAAUAAGCAAAAGUAAUGUACGAAAGGCGUUCUUCUUAGUCAAAUAAAAGCAGUCUUCAGUGUUUUGAUGGGUUAAGAAUCGCCAACGCUAUCACAAGGAGCAAAUGCUCAGCCUACUAUUUAAUAAUAUCUGAUAGAAUUAAGGAGCAGAACAUUCCAUGUUUGUAUCGGUUUUCUUCAUUACUUAUAUAGGAAAGUCCUUUCCUGACAGUAAACGCGUUUUGAGAGAAAAGUCUAUUGCACUAACUACUCUGGGGAGUAACAUAGAUAUAUAUAGAUGAAUUAUAUAUUUAAGAAUUUGGAGGCCUAUCAUCUCAGAGUCCAUGAGUUUUGUUCUCAGUUUGCAGGAGUAUGCCUAGGACCGGGGUAGGCAAUCUUCGGCACUCCAGGUGUUGUGGACUACACCUCCCACAAUGCUCUUACACCCCAUACAGCUGGAAAUGCAUUGGGGAGAUGUAGUCCACAAGAUUUUAAGUUUGUCUAACCCUAACCAAUUGGUUUUUCCAUGCUUACAUCUAGGUGCUGCUGAGCUGUGCAGCUUGUGGGGGAGGAGGGGAUUUUGUAUUGGCGUCAAGCCCCUGGUAUUUUUUUUACCUUAACACCCCUAUUUAUGUUCCCCUUCCCUGUUUAAUCUAUUUUAAAUUAUUUGGGUAGAUGAUGUUAUUUGGGA